GGCGGAAAGAGACAGUGACAAACAUCUACAGAUCUUUUAGCAUCAUAACUGUCAUGGAGGAGGUUCUCCAUGGACCUAAUGCAACCAUCAGUCAUAAUAUACUGGCAAGGAGUCUCAUUUCUGUACCCCGUGAGUCCUCCUGUUAGCGCUUGGUUAGACGUUUGGUUGUGACACACUGGAAAAAGGCGGCGCAGCGGAACAGACUACAAACAAACAACAGCAGCCAGAUGCCAAAACAGGAACAGGAAAGAAGAAAGGAAACUUACUGUGGUUCACUGGCCAUUACUAUGCACAAUGAAUGCGGAAUCCCUGAAAUAAACAAAGAGUGUACAUGUGAGACAUUUAA